rnacentral:rRNA from 1 species
CGAAAUGCGAUAAGUAAUGUGAAUUGCAGAAUUCAGUGAAUCGUCGAAUCUUUGAACGCACCUUGCG